GACGAACGCUGGCGGCGUGCUUAACACAUGCAAGUGGAGCGACGAACCAGGGCUUGCCCUGGGGGCAGAGCCGCGAACGGGUGAGUAACACGUGGGUAACGUGCCCCGAUGACUGGGACAACCCGGGGAAACCCGGGCUAAUACCGGAUAUGCCCCCUCACGCGAGUGAGGUGUGUAAAGGAAGCUUCGGCCUCCGCAUCGGGAUCGGCCCGCGGCGCAUUAGCUUGUUGGUGGGGUAACGCCUACCAAGGCAACGAUGCGUAGCUGGUCUGAGAGGACGAUCAGCCACACUGGGACUGAGACACGGCCCAGACUCCUACGGGAGGCAGCAGUGGGGAAUCUUGCGCAAUGCGCGAAAGCGUGACGCAGCAACGCCGCGUGGGGAAGACGGCU
rnacentral:rRNA from 1 species